UACGUAGGGGGCAAGCGUUAUCCGGAUUUACUGGGUGUAAAGGGAGCGUGGACGGUCUGGCAAGUCUGGUGUGAAAGGCUGGGGCUCAACCCCGGGACUGCAUUGGAAACUGUCAGACUUGAGUGCCGGAGAGGUAAGCGGAAUUCCUGGUGUAGCGGUGAAAUGCGUAGAUAUCAGGAGGAACACCAGUGGCGAAGGCGGCUUACUGGACGGUAACUGACGUUGAGGCUCGAAGACGUGGGGAGCAAACAGG
rnacentral:misc_RNA from 1 species